AUCUGUGUCCUGGUCUUUCGGGUUGUCAUGGAAAUUAGCUGGAGCAGGUACCCCAGGGCCCAGCAGGUUUCCUGCAUACGAAGUGAAAACGGAAGAUCUAUGCCCGGGCAAUGCCACAGGGGAGGAAGACACUGUGGAACUCACGGAGUUUGGUACAGAGCAUGUUGAAAUUCCUCAUCUUCCUCAAGGUUUUGAAGUUGCAAAAUAUAACACCUUGGAGAAAGUAAGAAU